rnacentral:rRNA from 1 species
CCUACGGGAGGCAGCAGUAGGGAAUAUUGCUCAAUGGGGGAAACCCUGAAGCAGCAACGCCGCGUGCAGGAUGACGGUUUUCGGAUUGUAAACUUCUUUUGUUAGAGAAGAUAAUGACGGUAUCUAACGAAUAAGCACCGGCUAACUCCGUGCCAGCAGCCGCGGUAAUACGGAGGGUGCAAGCGUUAUUCGGAAUCACUGGGCGUAAAGAGCGCGUAGGCGGGAUAGCAAGCCAGAUGUGAAAUCCUAUGGCUUAACCAUAGAACUGCAUUUGAAACUGGUAUUCUAGAGUAGGGGAGAGGUAGGUGGAAUUCUUGGUGUAGCGGUAAAAUCCGUAGAGAUCAAGAGGAAUACUCAUUGCGAAGGCGACCUGCUGGAACAUAACUGACGCUGAUGCGCGAAAGCGUGGGGAGCGAACAGGAUUAGAUACCCCGGUAGUC